GACGAACGCUGGCGGCGUGCCUAAUACAUGCAAGUAGAACGCUGAAGGAGGAGCUUGCUCUUCUGGAUGAGUUGCGAACGGGUGAGUAACGCGUAGGUAACCUGCCUGGUAGCGGGGGAUAACUAUUGGAAACGAUAGCUAAUACCGCAUAACAGUAGAUGUUGCAUGACAUUUGCUUAAAAGGUGCAAUUGCCCCACUACCAGAUGGACCUGCGUUGUAUUAGCUAGUUGGUGGGGUAACGGCUCACCAAGGCGACGAUACAUAGCCGACCUGAGAGGGUGAUCGGCCACACUGGGACUGAGACACGGCCCAGACUCCUACGGGAGGCAGCAGUAGGGAAUCUUCGGCAAUGGACGGAAGUCUGACCGAGCAACGCCGCGUGAGUGAAGAAGGUUUUCGGAUCGUAAAGCUCUGUUGUAAGAGAAGAACGAGUGUGAGAGUGGAAAGUUCACACUGUGACGGUAUCUUACCAGAAAGGGACGGCUAACUACGUG
rnacentral:rRNA from 1 species